UAUUAAUGUACAUUGAAUAUAUCUCAAUUAAAUUGUAAAAAUUAAAAGAUAAAAACAUAUGGAUAAAAUUCUAAAAUUUCUUUAUGUUACAAUUUUGUUUAUGUCCCUACUCUUUCUUUCAGCGAAGGCUAUCUUUCCAUGUGAAACUACUGAGGAUUGUGCAAACGUGUUUGUUAGCAUGAAUAAGAUCGAAAUGCAAGUCCUAUGCAUUAAAAACAUAUGUCGUUUGGCUAUGCUGAUGUAAGGAAAAAUAUUUAAAAAAAUAUGAAUAAUAAAUAUAUGUUAUGGUAGAAUAUUUCAUAAGUUGCCAUUUAAGAGUAAUGCUUUCAACCUAGAAUUGUAUUUUUUAUAUAAUUUGAAAUUACGAAUUUGUUCUCUAAAA